rnacentral:rRNA from 1 species
AUUGAACGCUGGCGGCAGGCCUAACACAUGCAAGUCGAGCGAGCGGCGGACGGGUGAGUAAUGUCUGGGGAACUGCCUGCUGGAGGGGGAUAACUACUGGAAACGGUGUCUAAUACCGCAUACCAUCAGAUGUACCCAUAUGGGAUUAGCUAGUAGGUGGGGUAAUGGCUCACCUAGGCGAAGAUCCCUAGCUGGUCUGAGAGGAUGACCAGCCACAUUGGGACUGAGACACGGUCCAGACUCCUACGGGAGGCAGCAGUGGGGAAUAUUGCACAAUGGGCGCAAGCCUGAUGCAGCCAUGCCGCGUGUGUGAAGAAGGCCUUCGGGUUGUAAAGCACUUUCAGCGAGGAGGCGUUACUCGCAGAAGAAGCACCGGCUAACUCCGUGCCAGCAGCCGCGGUAAUUC